UCAACGAAUCCUGAAAAAGCUUCAAGAGAACUUGGAGAUGAGAUGAUUCUUCUUGUAAUAGCUGAUACUGAGGGGAAGCAAUUGAAUGGUGCACCUCUAAGUCUUUGAUUGACAAGUCUUGAAGGAUACAAAAUCUCAUUCAUUUGCCUCUUCUCAGCAUCGGUUAUUAUUGGGUUAGUUUUAUGAUGGACGGAUUUUUAGAUCCGGUUUUAAUGAUCUCCACGGCGACUGGUUAGAAUGAUGCUAGCUAAUCCGGUAGUUUUCUAUUCAAAUUCUUGGGGACCAUGUGAAGGUAGCAGCAGGUUAUGGAUCCCCCAGUGCCUGUUGAGUGGAUUCAAAGUUGCAACCUAUAUAAGAAGCAAACCCACAGUUGAACUGAUGCACCCCUCUUAUAAAAUGAUGAUCUGAAAUUUGAGAUUUGGUUUUUGUUUGGAUUGUUAGUUCUCAUAGUCUGCACGUGUUUAUUGAAAGUUGAUACACAUUUUGAAACUUCUGAUCCAUGAAUUGUUUUCUAGAAAUGAAUUGUUAAAUUUGCCAAAAUUCAUAUGAGAUUCUCAAAGGGUAAUUUUUCAUAGUACUUGAACUAACAUUCCCAAGUGAAUACCACAUCUUGAAACCUUUAGAGUUUAGACCCAGCAAUGGAACCUAGUAUUCUUCAAAAACGUCAGGUACAUAUUGAACGUGCAUGGUAUACUUAUCCAUUCUUGUAAUUGCAUGAGCAUCGUCAGGCUUCAGUGAUCCGAAACUACUAAUGAAAUCAGACACUCCUUAUGUACUAAUGUAAUUGUUCAACAAUUACCUUUAUAAACAGAGAUCCAAAAUCUAAGGUCUACAUUAAUUACAUUUACACAUCCAUCUAAAGUUACUAGUAAUAAAGUUGCUUAAUUUUCUUUCUCCCAGCAAUUUCUUCUUUAUUCUGACAGGUACGACUACUCUUUUGCAAGAAGAGCGCAAAAAGGGCUAUGCGUAUCACAGCUCUAGAAGUGGUGUGAAUAUUUUGGGAGUUUGGUGUGGAGCUCAUUUCUCUAGGAAAUGCAGAUGAAUGAUGUACGUGACAUAAAGACGUGUAUGAUGCACGAUUUUGUCCAAGUUAUCAUGGGGGAUCAUGAAUGCGCAUCUCUCAAGGUUGGAAAAUGUUUCUGAAGUUCGUCGUUUAGAGUUAAUAGUGGAUAAAGAAUUAUCACCAACAUUUCCUGAAACUUUGAGCAUUUUAAAUAAGUUGCGGAGUGCGGACAAUUAUUGUCCUCAAAGCAAGUUUUAGUUUUUAACCUCAACAGAUUCCAUGUAGUAAGCACUUGCGCGUUUUACAUUUGGGUCAUCCAGUUCCAGGUGUAGUGUUCAGAAUUUCUUCUUUGGAUUGCUAAAUUUAGGUAUUUAAGGUACUUGUACAUUUGCUCAUUAGAUCUUAGAGAACAAUCUAAGGAUGAGCCAUCAGUAGACUUUUCAAUCUGUUGACACUGGUCUUAGGUAAGUGUGUCCAUAUUAGAGGUAUGCUUAAAGAAAUGGGUUCUUUAAGUAAUCUAAGGCACCUUGGUAUCUAGUUUACAGAUAUUAAAGACCUACCUGAUUAUGUUACCAGUCUUUGUAAUUUGCUUAAAAUAUCUUAGAUUUCAUGAUCUGUCAUUUGCGUCUAUUGAGGAUAUUCCUGAAUCGCGUGUAUUCUGUCCUUGAAAUUCAGUCCUACUUCGAAUGCAACCUGUAGGUUUGUACAUCAGUAUGUACAGUUACUACAGUACUAAAUACAUCCUAGCGUGGUUUGGUUUU